UAAAGUUAGCGAUAUUUUCAUUAGUACGCAAAUGGUGUAUUUUUGCAGCUUGUUUGAUCACGUCACCAAAGAAGCUCUCCCCGAGAGAACACAUUGCGUGACGAGAAGUAACAAAGCGUGACGAGACGUGUCGAGACAUGUCGAGACGUGCCGAGAUCUUACAUCUUACAUGCGUACAAGUACUAGCCAUCCUUUAGGUCUGAUUGCCAUCGUCAAUCAAGAACCACCAGCAUAACGGCAAUGUCUCUCGUCUUCGGCUGUUAUUAUCUAUCUGGCCCACAUUUUAUGUUGGUCGGGCAAUUUGAGUCAAUAAUGGUAUAUCCUGUCUAUUGAGACUACAAAGAAAGACUGUAGGGAGAGACGAGGAGGCGGGUUAGUCAAUGGCUGGUAUUCGAGUGAGACCUUAUAUGCACGAGGAUUACUCCUGGAUGAAAAGACUUGCCUGCAGAGAAUGCAGGGAUAGGCAUCCGGGAGAGGGGCAGCGUGUUCCUUCCUUUUUCUUUUGUCUGUGAUGGUUGUAAUUAACUAACUGUUCUUCAAGAGAUAAUGUUGAUGUCACAGCUUUUUUAAGUUGGCCUCGAAAUGUCUUUGUAUCUUUUGAGUGGCCGUUCACGGGUACUUGUCCCAAAGUGGGAGAUAUUCAAUUGCAACAUUGAUAGGCUUGGUCAGCAUUAGAUUCCAUCCACCAAAAUCACCUUGGUCGAGAGGGACUGAGAUGGAAUGAUAGACAACUCGUGACUUGUUAUACUAAAUGAAAAUUACGAAGCUACGACAACAUGCCGACUUAUCCCGAUGACCUAAGUGUAUUAUUUGUUUGGGAAAUUGCGUCAAAACUUUUUACUCAAGAAAUGACCAGACUGGAACCUCUAUAGGUGUGUUUGCUUGUUUUGAGUGGGGAUGGAAGAAAAGGAGUCAUGCCGCAUAUCUGAUUUAUUAAAUCGCAUUUGUUCUGUUUAUACAUGAGUAGAACUACCUUGUUCUCUGAAAAAAAUAAAAUUUCUCGCAUUUUUA